GAGUUUGAUCAUGGCUCAGGACGAACGCUGGCGGCGUGCCUAACACAUGCAAGUCGCACGGGGGAGCAAUCCCCAGUGGCGAACGGGUGCGUAACACGUGAGGAACAUACCUAUCGGCGGGGGAUAGCCGGCCCAACGGCCGGGUAAUACCGCGUACGCUCCUCGGGAGGCAUCUCCUGGGGAGGAGAGCAGCAAUGCACCGAUAGAGUGCCUCGCGGCCUAUCAGCUAGUUGGUGAGGUAACGGCUCACCAAGGCGACGACGGGUAGCUGGUCUGAGAGGAUGAUCAGCCACAUUGGGACUGAGACACGGCCCAGACUCCUACGGGAGGCAGCAGUGGGGAAUCUUGCGCAAUGGGCGAAAGCCUGACGCAGCGACGCCGCGUGUGGGAUGAAGGUCUUCGGAUCGUAAACCACUGUCGCGAGGGACGAAUUCAUUGACGGUACCUCGAAAGGAAGCACCGGCUAACUCUGUGCCAGCCGCCGCCGU
rnacentral:rRNA from 1 species